AUACGGAGGGUGCAAGCGUUACUCGGAAUCACUGGGCGUAAAGCGCGCGCAGGCGGCUAUUUAAGUUGGAUGUGAAAGCCUACGGCUCAACCGUAGAACUGCAUCCAAAACUGUCAGGCUAGAGUGUGGGAGAGGAAGAUGGAAUUAGUUGUGUAGGGGUAAAAUCCGUAGAGAUAACUAGGAACACCAAAAGCGAAGGCAAUCUUCUGGAACACUACUGACGCUGAGGCGCGAAGGCGUGGGGAGCAAACAGGAUUAGAAACCCUAGUAGUCC
rnacentral:rRNA from 1 species